CCAAUAGCGUAUAUUAAAGUUGUUGCAGUUAAAAAGCUCGUAGUUGAAUUUCGGGAUCAGUACGUUGGUCGUGCCUUGGUACGUACUGGCGUCACUGAUUCCUCCCUUCUGAAGAACCGUCAUGCCAUUAAUUUGGUGUGGCGGGGAAUCAGGACUGUUACUUUGAAAAAAUUAGAGUGUUUAAAGCAGGCUCGCGCUUGAAUACAUUAGCAUGGAAUAAUGAAAUAGGACGUUAAUCCUAUUUUGUUGGUUUCUAGGAUCGACGUAAUGAUUAAUAGGGAUAGUUGGGGGCAUUAGUAUUCAAUUGUCAGAGGUGAAAUUCUUGGAUUUAUUGAAGACUAACUACUGCGAAAGCAUUUGCCAAGGAUGUUUUCAUUAAUCAAGAACGAAAGUUAGGGGAUCGAAGACGAUCAGAUACCGUCGUAGUCUUAACCAUAAACUAUGCCGACUAGGGAUCGGAUGAUGUUAAUUUUUUAAUGACUCA
rnacentral:rRNA from 1 species